GGUGGCUCAGUGGUAGAGUGCUUGCCUUGCAUGCAUGAAGCUUUGGGUUCAAAUCCUCAGCACCA
rnacentral:tRNA from 1 species